rnacentral:rRNA from 1 species
AUUGAACGCUGGCGGCAUGCCUAACACAUGCAAGUCGAACGGCAGCGCGGGUAGCAAUACCUGGCGGCGAGUGGCGGACGGGUGAGGAAUACAUCGGAAUCUACCCAGUCGUGGGGGAUAACGCAUCGAAAGGUGCGCUAAUACCGCAUACGACCGAGAGGUGAAAGCGGAGGACCGAAAGGCUUCGCGCGAAUGGAUGAGCCGAUGUCGGAUUAGCAGUUGGCGGGGUAAGAGCCCACCAAGGCGACGAUCCGUAGCUGGUCUGAGAGGAUGAUCAGCCACACUGGGACUGAGACACGGCCCAGACUCCUACGGGAGGCAGCAGUGGGGAAUAUUGGACAAUGGGCGCAAGCCUGAUCCAGCAAUGCCGCGUGUGUGAAGAAGGCCUUCGGUUG